UACGUAGGGGGCAAGCGUUAUCCGGAAUUAUUGGGCGUAAAGAGUGCGUAGGUGGUUUUGUAAGCGCGGGGUGAAAGGCUAUGGCUCAACCAUAGUAAGCCUUGCGAACUGUGAGACUUGAGUGCAGGAGAGGAGAGUGGAAUUCCUAGUGUAGCGGUGAAAUGCGUAGAUAUUAGGAGGAACACCAGUAGCGAAGGCGGCUCCCUGGACUGUAACUGACGCUGAGGCACGAAAGCGUGGGUAGCGAACAGGAUUAGAUACCCCGGUAGU
rnacentral:rRNA from 1 species